rnacentral:lncRNA from 7 species
GGAUAAGUAGCUCUAGAGAGAGCACUGGAAGUACUCUGAAUGUGUGCCUGAAAAAAUGGGCCAAUUUCUGCCCCCCUGUUGCCUAAAUUCUCUGACACUGGUGUCUGUACAUCCAUUUCAGUGGCAGGAUUCUGAUGUUAGUGAAGGACCCUUGGACUAAGAGAUGAAAAAUAACUUUCAGUAAUGAAAAUGUUUCUGAGUUCAAGUGAGCUGAUUCACCUUACACCUUAUUUGCUGAGGAGAUGGAGUAUGUACACGCAAGUAACAAGUGAGGAAGCUAUUGUAAAUCAGCUGCUGGAUGGCAGCUAGGCUCUCUAUACUCUUACCCUGUCAUAAAUGCAAGGUAAAGCAAAACAACAGCGGCAAAUGUUGUGCGGAGCAUUCAUUUUCUGUCCAAAUGGUUUCGAUUCAGCAUUAUUUCAUCAAAAACCUGCAGCGUUCCUGAUGCGUAACCUGGGAAGGUGUGGAGCAAUCUUUGUCAGUGAUGGUGUGUGCAGUGUGUGACUGCACAGGAACCGACUCCUCAGGCUUCCUGAAGGAACUGGAAUUAAAUUAGACUCUUCUCAGCCGGACCAGUUCUUUCACCCGGACCAGUUCUUUCACCCAGUUCAAGAUACAACUAUGGGCACAUCACAGAAAAAGUUGUAUGGAUGUGGAGACAAACAGCAGAAGUCAGGAUGCCUCACAUUGGCUGUCACGGCUGACAAAAUCUGGAAGAAAAAGGAUCGGAGGAAGCAGUGGAAGGGACAGGGCACAAGAAAGAAAAGGAAAGAAACGCGGACGCUCGCACACAACUUCUUACAAUGGCUCCAGCAUGCCCUUCCAUUGGCAGGAAUCCUUUUGAUCAAAUCCUUGCCCUGGGCUGGAAGUGUUUUAAUGAGCAUACAGACAUCAUCUUUUUUUCCUAGGUCUAUUUUGUGUUCUUAAGGAUAGAUAAGUAAAGCGUGCACUU